UAGGCUGUCGUCAGCUCGUGUCGUGAGAUGUUGGGUUAAGUCCGCAACGAGCGCAACCCUUGUCAUUAGUUGCUACAUUCAGUUGGGCACUCUAAUGAGACUGCCGGUGACAAACCGGAGGAAGGUGGGGAUGACGUCAAGUCCUCAUGGCCCUUAUAGGUGGGGCUACACACGUCAUACAAUGGAUGGUACAAAGGGUCGCCAACCCGCGAGGGGGAGCCAAUCCCAUAAAGCCAUUCGUAGUCCGGAUCGCAGUCUGCAACUCGACUGCGUGAAGUCGGAAUCGCUAGUAAUCGUGGAUCAGAAUGUCACGGUGAAUACGUUCCCGGGUCUU
rnacentral:rRNA from 1 species